UAACUCAGGGAGAGGCUUGGAGGUGCUGAGAGAGAAAGACACCAGGAAAAGCGAUUUCCCCAAAUGUGGAAAACUCAACUGCAUAAUUUGUGGUAGUUGGGGACUGUGUUCUCGCUUUCCCCUG
rnacentral:snRNA from 1 species